rnacentral:rRNA from 1 species
UACGUAGGGGGCAAGCGUUGUCCGGAUUUAUUGGGCGUAAAGAGCUCGUAGGCGGCCUGUUGCGUCCGCUGUGAAAGCCCGGGCUUAACCCCGGGUCUGCAGUGGAUACGGGCAGGCUAGAGGUAGGUAGGGGAGAAUGGAAUUCCCAGUGUAGAGGUGAAAUUCGUAGAUAUUGGGAAGAACACCGGUGGCGAAGGCGGCGACCUGGUCCGAUACUGACGCUGAGGCGCGAAGCGUGGGAGGCAA